GAUGAACGCUGGCGGCGUGCUUAACACAUGCAAGUCGAACGAAGCACUUUAUUUGAUUUCCUUCGGGACUGAUUAUUUUGUGACUGAGUGGCGGACGGGUGAGUAACGCGUGGGUAACCUGCCUUGUACAGGGGGAUAACAGUUGGAAACGGCUGCUAAUACCGCAUAAGCGCACAGCAUCGCAUGAUGCAGUGUGAAAAACUCCGGUGGUAUAAGAUGGACCCGCGUUGGAUUAGCUAGUUGGUGAGGUAACGGCCCACCAAGGCGACGAUCCAUAGCCGAGCAGAGAGGGAGACCCGCCACACUGGGACUGAGACACGGCCCAAACUCCUACGGGAGGCAGCAGUGGGGAAUAGUGCACAAUGGGCGAAAGCCUGAUGCAGCGACGCCGCGUGAGCGAAGAAGUAUUUCGGUAUGUAAAGCUCUAUCAGCAGGGAAGAUAAUGACGGUACCUGACUAAGAAGCACCGGCUAAAUACGUG
rnacentral:rRNA from 1 species